ensembl:lncRNA
GUUGUUUCUAGCUAACAGAUGGUUUUCUCAGAACAAUAUGUUUUGCUCUUGGGCCAAAGUGAGUAAAAUUUGGUACUAGACCCUAGAAUUUAACCUCAUAUGUUGGCAGUAGACUAGAAAAGAUCUUCAGAUGAAGAGAGCAGAGUAAAAUGGAGAAAGCCAUACACUGGGAGUCAGAUGGCCUGGAUAGGAUUUUGUGCUGGCGCUCAUUAGUCAUGAAACUUGAGGAGAGAGACUUGAGCAUGGUUAAGCACUGAUAAGUUGGAGGGAGAGUUGGAAUGGGAUCCCUGAAGAGUGCAUUAGGGCCCUAGUCCUUUCCAGGAGCCGGGAGCUGACAUCAGUCUUGCUGCCUAAAGCUCCGUAUCCAGCACUUACUAGCACCAGGCACUGUAGCAAGCAAUGGAGGUUAAAACAUGAAGAGACACUGUCCCAGCCCUCUCGGAGCUCACGUUCCAGCAGAUUAGCCCUGAACUAGCAUCCACUGCCAAGCCUCCUCUUUCUGCUGAGGAAGACUGGCCCUGAGCUAACAUCUGUGCCCAUCUUCCUCUAUUUUGGAGAAGCCUCUUGCUUACGAGCCACCCACUACGAGAGCACUUGCUGACGUUAAUGUGUAAAUGGCAUCCGUACCAGGCACUUUCCUGAGAAAACACUUUGAUAGAGCAGAGGACAGAGCAAGCAUGACGAUGCCCAGUUGUGGAAAACGGGAGAGGGUGUCUUCCGACCGAGGGAGGAUGGGGAGGCUCAGAGUAAGACGUAUUUCACCAGGAAGUCUCCCAAUCUGUGAAUUGAGCAUGCCUCACACGGAGAUGGGAGAAUGGUGGAAGCCUAACCUCCUGGAUGAGGCAGUUCCUUUUGGUCGAGCACUGACAGCAUCUACUACACCAACAAUCUUGGAGCGAAGAAGUGGGGAAAGGAGGAAGCUGCACAGAUGUUGAAACGACUACUACAGGAUGAGAUGUUAAACUGGAAAGAAAACUUACAGACCUACAGGAACACAAGGACAGUAACAUCUUUGUAUUCUCACAACCCAGAGAUGUAAAAUGUGUGUGUAAGAUGGAGAUAGAGCUUCUGCAUUUUCAAAAUGCUCAGAUGCCUGCAUGUGAAAGGCAGAGAGGAGAACCGGGACUCUCAGAGGAGAUGAAUUUUGACUCCAGACUGACUGGAACCAUCAGGAACUGGUGACUUGUGACCACAGCUCGUCCCGAGCAGACUCACUGCUGCCUCUGUGGUGAGCCUAUUUUCAAAGCCCCACAGUGGCCCCUUGUAAACUUUUCUCUUUUCCCUCAAGCCCUGACCCCUCCAGUCCACUUGAGCUCCCACUGUGUGGAGACAAAAGGCCACCUAUUCUGUAGCAUCCCCCUCAAAACACCUCUAUUUUCAGCCCUUCUUCCUCCCUAUUUUAAUGAGCAGGUUUUCUGGAUUUUUCCCGAGGUCAGUUUCCCUGCUUGUGUGCUUGGCCCCAUCCUUUCCACCCCCCCAGGACCUUACUCAUUUGGUGAAAAUACAACUUUUUAGAAAUAAAUAUGUAACGUUCUCUGCACUUAAUAUUUUAUGGUAAUUAGGCUUUUUAAUCCCAAUGUCUGCUAUGCUAGGCUGACAGGAUUUUUAUGUAAACUAGCUGAUUUAUAUAUAUGUAAGUCCUAUAUAUGUAUAUGAAAAUUACAUUGGUAUGUUUAGACUAGUACAGCAGUGAGGAUGACAGAGAGAAAAGCAGGCGUAUGAAAAUGCAGAACAAUAGAUUAAACUGUGAAGCCUUUGUAGGUGGACAGCCUGAGCAUGCUUUGCUAAUUGUUUUGAAUCCUCAAUACCCUGUAGUGCAGAAAGGGUGGGGCAAGGGGCCCAGAAUCACACAUGUAUCAUGCCUUAAAGGCAAGCUGCAGACAAAAGCUGUGUUGAUGCCAUUACUAGAACUCCUCCCUGCCAUGUCCCCUACCCCCACUGCUGGGCCCCCUAACUUGUUUAUUUCUAUUGAAGUAUAACAUACAUUAAAUAAUUUUCCCCUUUUAAAUGCACAGUUUGAUAAGUUUUAAAAUAUGCAUACUUCUAUGUGACCACCAGCACAAUCAAGAUACAGUUUUGAUUUCAUCACCCAAAAAGUCCUCUCUUGCUCCUUUGCAUUCAAGGUCUGCUCCUCCCAAUCCCAGGAAUCCAUCAGGUUGUUGUCUCUGAGCAUUAUGGACUGCGUGUUCAUGUCGCCCCAAUUAAUAUGUUGAAACCCUAACUCCCAACAGAGUGGUAUUAGGAGAUGGGGCUUUUGGGAGAUAAUUAGGUCAUGAGGAUGGGGCCCCCAUGAUGGAGAUUAGUGCCCUUAUAAGAAGAGGAAGACAGCUAGCUCUCUGCUGUCUCGGCCAUGUGAGGAUACAGCAAGAUGUCCUCUGCCAGCCAGGAAGAGAGCCCUCAGCAGAUAUUAGAUCUGCCCGUGCCUUGAUCUUGGACUUUCUAGCCUCCAGAACUGUGAGAAACAAAUGUUUACUGAUUAAGCCACCCAGUCUAUGGUAUUUUUUUGUUAUAGCAUCCCAAGCAGACUAAGACGCUUAGUAUAGACCAGUUUUGCCUGUUCUAGUAUAGAUUCACAAAUUAGUUUUGACUGUUUAUACAAAUGGUACAUUCGAUAUAAACUCUUUAUUGUCUGGAUUCUUUUCCUCAACCUAAUAUUUUAAAAAUUCUUCUAUGUUAUUACAUGUAUCAGUGUUUCUUCCUUUUUAUUUGUUAGUGGUAUUUUAUUGUAUAAAUACACCACAAUCUGUCACAUUUGGGUUGUUGCCAGUGUUUGGUUAUUAUGAAUAAAACUACUAUAACAUU